UGGAAAGCUUCUCUUACUAUUACAACCUCAGAGAGACGGCACGUAACUGCUGUGCCAAUGCCAGAAGAGCUCAGGCUAGUGCUUGUAGCGAUUGGAAUUUUACCCAGCCUGCUUCCCUUGUUUAGGCCAAGCGUGUCUCUGGUUUCACAGCUGGCCUACUUAAGCAGCUGCACAGAGUUCCAUGUUAUAGGGGAAGCUGCAGACUUAGGGACACAACUUUGUCUCCGGAUGGGAAGGCUCAUCUAAAUGCUACACAGACCGAAAGCAAAGGCUGAGUUCUCCUACCGUUGGCAUCCUGCCCUAUGAUUUCAGAUGAUGAUAUGCGGGGAUAUACGUCCUUCAUGAAGACAUGUCAGGAAUAGACUCGGGAAUGUUUAGACAAUGCAGUCAUUAUAUAAUGUGCCUUCGACACCUUGGAAACCAGUUGGUGGUAUGCAACUUAUCACCAGAAACCAUGUGCGGACAAGAUGAUUUUGAAGAAAAUGCACUUUUCCUCUCCUUUUAUGAGUUCAAA
rnacentral:lncRNA from 1 species